AUUGAACGCUGGCGGCAGGCCUAACACAUGCAAGUCGAACGAGUGGCGGACGGGUGAGUCAUGUCUGGGAAACUGCCUGAUGGAGGGGGAUAACUACUGGAAACGGUAGCUACUACCGCAUACCAUCAGAUGUGCCCAGAUGGGAUUAGCGAGUGGGUGGGGUAACGGCUCACCAAGGCGACGAUCCCUAGCUGGUCUGAGGGGGUGACCAGCCACACUGGAACUGAAACACGGUCCAGACCCCUAGGGGCGGCAGCAGUGGGGACUAUUGCACAAUGGGACAAAUCUUGAGGCAUCAAUGCCGGGUGUAUGAAGAGGGCCUUCGGCUUGUAAAGUACUUACAGCGGGGACGCGUUACCCGCACAAAAAGAACCGGCUAACUCCGUGCCAGCAGCCGCGUAAUAC
rnacentral:rRNA from 1 species